UCUUCUUUUCGUUUCAAGAUAUAUUUUAUCUCAAACAAUGUGUCUUCAUCUUUAUGUUCAAAGGAAAUAUUUUUGAUAGCCUCCACUCUGUUGUCACACGUAACGGAGGAAACAUGUGGACGACAAGCGUUAUAGCUACAGAUCUACAAAGAUGAACAGGCUCCUACAAUAUCUUGAAGUGAAUCUUCUGGUGGCUGACUUCUGUGCGCGUCGCUGAAAAGCGUGUCAAGGAGAAGGCCUUCUUUGAAAUUUUUCGGUUGCAAUUGUGUAACAUGGGCCUUGAGUGUUAAUCACUUCUAUAAUCACUAAAUUUGGCAUAUCUUAUAGGUAAGUGGCUAAUAAUCCCUAUAAUUAAAGGGAUGACUGCAUAUUCCCUUAUGUAGACCAGUAAACCCUAUAUAUUCUCACCCAAACUAUUAAGCUCAUUAUAAACCCCCAAUCUUCUUAAUUAUGCCCAACUAAACCUCUCUAAUUGAAAUUAACAAGUCAAUGUUUACACUGUAAACGCGAUUGUACAAAAGUGAUGACCCGGCUUAAUUGCAUUUUGCAACCCGAGCCGAGCUGCCCGACUCAAAUUCUUAAACAAAUCGACAAAGGGAGAGAAGUGAGACGACAGAGAGAUAGAGAAACGAGAGAUUGAGGGUUACGAAGAACAGAGUAAGUGAGACACAUAAACAAAGAGAGAGAAUAAACGAAAACAGAGUGAGAGAGAGAGACCAAGUGAUAGAGACCAAUUCAAUUGAGACAAAGAGAUGAGGGCAAUGAAUUUGAAACUGCUGAGACACAACUUGAAAUAGAGAGGAAAGACGAUGAAGCAGAUAACGAAAGUGAGUUUGAGUGUGAGGAGAAGACCAAAGUCUGGAAAAUGAGACAAUAUGGAUGAAGUUGAGGAUACUUUGGGUAUAUAUUUGUUUCAGAUUGAAGAAUCAGUAGUUGUGUAAGUCAAGUUUGUGGCGUUUUUGUUUCAGUCGACUUGUGCUUUUGUAUUUGUUUUCGACUUGUGGUUGAGGGUUGAGUAUUAGUUUUGGACUUAUGUAAGACUCAUUUGUAUUUGCGAUAUGUGAUUUGGUUUAGAAUUAUGUAAGACUCAUGAGUGUUAGUUUUGUC